rnacentral:rRNA from 1 species
GAUGAACGCUGGCGGCGUGCCUAACACAUGCAAGUCGAACGAAGCAAUAAAGACGGAGAUUCGUCAAAGCCUUUAUUGACUUAGUGGCGGACGGGUGAGUAACGCGUGAGCAACCUGCCUUUCAGAGGGGGACAGCAGUUGGAAACGACUGCUAAUACCGCAUAAGCGCACAGGGCCGCAUGGCCCGGUGUGAAAAACUCCGGUGGUAUAAGAUGGACCCGCGUCUGAUUAGCUGGUUGGUGGGGUAACGGCCCACCAAGGCGACGAUCAGUAGCCGGCCUGAGAGGGUGAACGGCCACAUUGGGACUGAGACACGGCCCAG